GGGUUGUGAGGUUAAGCGACUAAGCGUACACGGUGGAUGCCCUGGCAGUCAGAGGCGAUGAAGGACGUGCUAAUCUGCGAAAAGCGUCGGUAAGGUGAUAUGAACCGUUAUAACCGGCGAUGUCCGAAUGGGGAAACCCAGUGUGAUUCGUCACACUAUCGUUAACUGAAUACAUAGGUUAACGAGGCGAACCGGGGGAACUGAAACAUCUAAGUACCCCGAGGAAAAGAAAUCAACCGAGAUUCCCCCAGUAGCGGCGAGCGAACGGGGAGCAGCCCAGAGUCUGAAUCAGCUUGUGUGUUAGUGGAACGGUCUGGAAAGUCCGACGGUACAGGGUGAUAGUCCCGUACACCAAAAUGCACAGGUUGUGAACUCGAAGAGUAGGGCGGGACACGUGGUAUC
rnacentral:rRNA from 1 species